GCAAGAAAAGCAGCGUUACUUUGCUGCUUCUGCAACAGUCACUCUUUUUCUUGCUUUCUUAUUUUCACUCUUAGCUACUCUCAGUCCCUCUCUUCUCUGCUCCGAAAUUUCACACAAACCAUAAAUAAAACCUAAAAAAAAAAAGAAGAAGGAAAAAGCACUUUUCAUCUUCAUCAUCUUCAAAAUGGCGUCUGCAAGUGGAGCAGCGAAUUCCUCAAUUCCGACGCAAAUUCACAGUUCGAGAACGAAGCGAAGCCACCACAGCAUCGAUUCGAUGAGCAAAGCGAUAGCGCAGUACACAGAAGAUGCGAGGCUCCACGCCGUGUUCGAACAAUCCGGCGAGUCAGGAAAAUCCUUUGACUAUUCACAAUCGCUUCGUGUCACGUCGGAAUCGGUGCCGGAGCAGCAAAUAACCGCUUACCUUCUCAAAAUCCAGCGUGGCGGUUUUAUCCAACCAUUCGGUUCCAUGAUCGCCGUCGACGAACGCUCCUUUCGCAUCCUCGCCUACUCCGAAAACGCUCGCGACAUGCUCGGAAUUACUCCUCAGUCCGUUCCCUCUCUCGACGACGACAAGCUCGAACCCUUCGCUCUCGCCACCGAUGUUCGCUCUCUCUUCACUCCGUCCAGCGCGUUGCUUCUCGAGAAGGCUUUCACCGCGCGUGAAAUUAGCCUCAUGAACCCUAUUUGGAUCCAUUCUAGAACCUCCGGUAAGCCUUUCUAUGGUAUCCUUCACCGAAUUGACGUUGGUAUUGUCAUUGAUUUGGAACCUGCGCGUACGGAAGAUCCUGCACUUUCCAUUGCAGGUGCGGUGCAGUCGCAGAAGCUUGCGGUUCGCGCCAUUUCGCAGCUUCAGUCUCUUCCUGGAGGAGAUGUUAAGCUUCUUUGUGACACUGUUGUUGAGAGUGUUAGGGAAUUGACAGGGUAUGAUAGGGUUAUGGUGUAUAGGUUUCAUGAGGAUGAGCAUGGUGAGGUUGUUGCUGAGAGUAAGAGGCCUGAUUUGGAGCCUUAUAUUGGUUUGCAUUAUCCUGCUACUGAUAUUCCUCAAGCUUCGAGGUUUUUGUUUAAGCAGAAUAGGGUUAGGAUGAUUGUGGAUUGUCAUGCUUCGCCUGUGAGGGUGGUUCAGGAUGAGGCUCUUGUGCAGCCUCUGUGUUUGGUUGGGUCUACGCUUCGUGCUCCACACGGUUGUCAUGCUCAGUACAUGGCAAAUAUGGGGUCGAUUGCUUCGUUGGUUAUGGCUGUUAUUAUUAAUGGGAAUGAUGAGGAAGGUGUUGGAGGUCGGAGUUCCAUGAGGCUUUGGGGGCUUGUUGUUUGUCAUCAUACUUCUGCUAGGUGUAUUCCUUUUCCCUUGAGGUAUGCUUGUGAGUUCUUGAUGCAGGCGUUUGGGCUGCAGUUGAAUAUGGAGCUUCAGUUGGCAGCGCAGUCAUUGGAGAAACGGGUUUUGAGAACGCAGACGCUCUUGUGUGACAUGCUUCUUAGGGACUCUCCUACUGGCAUUGUUACUCAGACUCCUAGUAUUAUGGACUUGGUCAAGUGUGAUGGAGCUGCUCUUUACUACCAAGGAAAUUACUGCCCGUUGGGUGUCACCCCGACAGAGUCUCAGAUAAGGGAUAUCAUUGAGUGGCUGUUGGCCUUCCAUGGAGAUUCGACGGGUUUGAGUACUGAUAGUCUGGCUGAUGCUGGCUAUCCUGGGGCUGCCUCGCUAGGGGAUGCAGUUUGUGGGAUGGCUGUUGCUUAUAUCACGGAAAAGGAUUUUCUUUUCUGGUUUCGGUCCCACACAGCAAAAGAGAUCAAAUGGGGUGGGGCAAAGCAUCACCCAGAGGACAAGGAUGAUGGGCAGCGAAUGCAUCCUCGUUCUUCGUUCAAGGCUUUUUUAGAAGUGGUAAAAAGCCGUAGUUUGCCGUGGGAGAAUGCAGAAAUGGAUGCUAUUCACUCUUUGCAGCUUAUUCUGCGUGACUCAUUUAAGGAUGCUGAGCAAAGCAAUUCUAAGGCUGUUGUGCAUUCCCAUUUGGUGGAACUAGAGUUGCAAGGGGUAGAUGAACUAAGCUCGGUGGCCAGAGAGAUGGUUAGGUUGAUAGAAACAGCCACUGCUCCCAUAUUUGCUGUUGAUUUUGAUGGCAACAUAAAUGGGUGGAAUGCAAAGGUUUCAGAAUUGACAGGACUCCCAGUUGAGGAUGCUAUGGGGAAGUCCUUGGUCCACGAUCUUGUGUUCAAGGAGUCUGAAGAAACAGUGGGCAAGCUUCUUUCUCGUGCUUUAAAAGGUGAAGAAGAUAAGAAUGUUGAGAUAAAAAUGAGGACGUUUGGCCCAGAACAUCAAAAUAAGGCAGUUUUUGUAGUGGUGAAUGCUUGCUCCAGCAAAGAUUAUACAAAUAAUAUAGUUGGAGUGUGCUUUGUUGGUCAGGAUGUUACUAGUCAAAAAAUUGUGAUGGACAAAUUCAUCAACAUACAGGGUGACUACAAGGCUAUUAUACAUAGUCCAAAUCCAUUGAUCCCUCCCAUUUUUGCAUCGGAUGAUAACACAUGUUGCUUAGAGUGGAACACUGCCAUGGAAAAGCUAACUGGUUGGGGUCGUGUGGAUGUCAUUGGAAAAAUGUUGGUGGGAGAGGUUUUUGGUAGUUGCUGUCAGUUGAAGGGUUCAGAUGCAAUAACAAAGUUCAUGAUUGUCUUGCAUAAUGCGCAUGGGGGACAAGAUACUGAUAAAUUCCCUUUUUCAUUUCUCGACCGUCAUGGAAAGUAUAUACAAACUUUCCUGACUGCAAAUAAGAGGGUUAACAUGGAUGGCCAGAUCAUUGGUGCUUUUUGCUUUUUGCAAGUUGUGACUCCUGAACUUCAACAUGCACUAAAGGCCCAGAGACAACAAGAAAAGAAUUGCUUUGCUAGGAUGAAAGAGUUAGCUUAUAUUUGUCAAGAAGUAAAGAAUCCUUUGAGUGGCAUACGCUUUACAAACUCUCUUUUGGAGGCUACAGGCUUGACCGAUGAGCAAAAGCAGUUUCUUGAGACUAGUGCUGCUUGUGAGAAGCAAAUGUUAAAGAUAAUACGUGACGUUGAUCUUGAAAGAAUCGAAGAUGGGUCCCUGGAGCUUGAAAAGGGUGAAUUCAUGCUUGGAAAUGUCAUAAAUGCAGUUGUUAGCCAAGUAAUGUUAUUGCUAAGAGAAAGAAAUUUACAGUUGAUUCGUGAUAUUCCUGAAGAAAUCAAGACAUUAGCUGUUUAUGGUGAUCAAUUGAGGAUUCAACAAAUUUUGGCUGAUUUCUUAUUGAAUAUGGUGCGCUAUGCACCAUCUCCAGACGGCUGGGUAGAGAUUCAUGUACGUCCAAGAAUAAAACAAAUUUCAGAUGGGCUCACCCUUCUCCAUGCUGAAUUUAGGAUGGUAUGUCCAGGUGAAGGUCUUCCUCCUGAAUUGGUUCAAGACAUGUUCCAUAACAGUCGGUGGGCGACUCAAGAAGGCUUAGGGCUGAGCAUGAGCAGGAAGAUUCUAAAGUUAAUGAACGGUGAAGUCCAAUAUAUCAGGGAGGCAGAACGUUGCUACUUCUUUGUUCUUCUUGAACUACCCUUGACACGGAAAAGCUCUAAAAAAUGUUAAAUAGAUAAUGCUCACCUAACGAGGCAACUUAAAGGGACAAGUAUUUGAGCAAGCUGAUUUGGCUAGUUAUCUCGGUCACAUGUAAUUCUACCAAAUUGGAUUGUUAUUUUGCGCCCUGACAACACUUGUUCGGUACAGCAAUGAGCGGCGUUAUUUUGUAGUUAAAUGUAACCUUAAAUCUUACUGAUAAAGUAAAUGCAGAGUAGAUAAAAUGCCGUGUCGCCAAUAUGUAUAUAUGUUCAUGGCCAAGUGGGUGUCCUUGAAAAUUUUUCAAGCAAAUGCUUACUUCAUUAGCAGCUGCCGUGAACUCCAAUCCAUGGUUGGAUUGAACUACAUCCAUUUCCUGCAUUGUUCUUGGUUCUGAAAGUACUUCCUUAUACCAUAUGUUUCCAAGUUUGCAAAUAACUGUAAAAUCUUAACCUCCAACAAGAUUUACUAUAUUCCUCAACACAUUAGCAGAUGAAUUAGUCACAACUGCCAAUUUAGAAUGCAUUAGGAAGUGAGUGGAUAUCCGUACAGAGCUCCGGCGUGAAGGGUUUGAUGAACUUGAAAGGUUGGGUAGCAUUUGUUCUUUCCUUUGGUUCACCGUUCAAAAUCACAAG